GUUAUCUGAAAGUCCUGUCUGAUCUGUGGGUGCCUUUAAACUAUUUUCAAAUAUCUUUUCAUUUUCACUGAAGUUCUGAGCAGCAUUUUUGCCUUGCAGUUCUUCUUUACAACCACUAGAGGGCAGCAAACACCCAUUGUCGUGUCAGGUUAAACCAUGUGGCAAAAAAGGGUCAGGUUUGAAUUUGUUGUGUUUCUUUUGGGAAACUUAAAGUACACACUGUGCCAGCUUGGUGCGGCUGUAAGAGCGUCGCCACGGUGACCUCCACGACCUGCGGGGAGCGAGGGAGAGGUCGGGCAGCAUGGUAGCCACGGAAACCUCCAAGGCGUGCGGCCGUCCGCACACCGGGUUCUCCGUGGAGCAGUAGUACUCACACUGGCCGUAGAAACAGACGUUCCCGGCUGAUGGAGACAAAGAGGACACGACUUGAGCGGGAAGUCUGAGAUGUUGAAACGCAGCAGACUCGUCGUUUACACACAAACCAGGAGAGGUGAAGAAAGUCUUCGCCAGCCGGCGGUCAGUGCUCCGAGGAUGGGUUGUGUUGCCAAAUAGUGAGUCAGCUGGUCCAGGUUGGAGUCUUUCCUGUCGUACAGUUCCCAGCGAGAGAUGCCCAAGUGGAACCGCAGCCAGGGAGGAUGGAGAAACCAGAAAACAAAAAGGACGUUUACAUGCAGCUGCAUCACAUUCUCACAGCCGAGAAAAGCUGCAGAUGAAACCUCAAAUCCCAACGAGCCGAGGAGGAAAUGUGGAGGAUUGAGUGCCAAAAGCAAAACGGAUGAAAAGAAGGAUCAAGAUUAAACAGUUUCUUCCCGCUUGAUCAUCAAGAGGAAUGUGGUUUGAUGAUCCGAUGAGCUGUGAGGGCUGGCAAAGAUGAAAAAAAACCCUGAGUUGUGUCACGCAGGCAGCUGUAGCUCUCUAACACG
rnacentral:lncRNA from 1 species